CCCGGUGCCCAUAUCCAGUUGGAUACACCCGUUCCCAUUCCGACCACGGUCGUUAAGCAGCUGGAGCCGAUGAUAGUGCUAGUGUGCGAAAGUAGGUUAGUGCCGGGU
rnacentral:rRNA from 1 species